GACGGAGGGGACUAGCGUUGCUCGGAAUGACUGGGCGUAAAGGGUGCGUAGGCGGUUUUUCAAGUAAGGCGUGAAAGCCCUGGGCUUAACCCAGGAAGUGCGCUUUAAACUGAAAGGCUAGAGUGUGAGAGAGGAAAGUGGAAUUCCUAGUGUAGAGGUGAAAUUCGCAGAUAUUAGGAAGAACAUCAGAGGCGAAGGCGACUUUCUGGCUCACAACUGACGCUGAGGCACGAAAGCGUGGGGAGCAAACAGG
rnacentral:rRNA from 1 species